rnacentral:rRNA from 1 species
UACAGAGGUCUCAAGCGUUGUUCGGAUUCAUUGGGCGUAAAGAGCGCGCAGGCGGUCGUUCAAGUCGCGUGUGAAAGCCCCCGGCUCAACUGGGGAGGGUCACGCGAUACUGAUCGACUCGAAGGCAGGAGAGGGAAGUGGAAUUCCCGGUGUAGUGGUGAAAUGCGUAGAUAUCGGGAGGAACACCAGUGGCGAAGGCGACUUCCUGGCCUGUUCUUGACGCUGAGGCGCGAAAGCUAGGGGAGCAAACGGG